UACGAAGGGAGCUAGCGUUGUUCGGAAUCACUGGGCGUAAAGCGCGUGUAGGCGGCCCGGUAAGUCCGCUGUGAAAGUCGGGGGCUCAACCCUCGAAAGCCGGUGGAUACUGUCGGGCUAGAGUACGGAAGAGGCGAGUGGAAUUCCUGGUGUAGCGGUGAAAUGCGUAGAUAUCGGGAGGAACACCAGUGGCGAAGGCGACUACCUGGCCUGUUUCUUGACGCUGAGGCGCGAAAGCUAGGGAGCAACGGG
rnacentral:rRNA from 1 species